GCCGGGAGUUGUGGCGAGCUCUUGUAAACUAGUCUCUUAGUGGCGUAGUCUGGGGAUGGUCUGCCAGCUGGGUCAGCAUCUGUCUCUUAGUCGUCGUUGACCGAGCGUCCGUGCCAAGCGUAGCGUCGAUAGGCUAACCGUAGGGGAACCUGUGGUUAACCGGUCGAUGUCUUCGGACGAUUAAAGCAAGAUGUACGGCUCAGGACCGAAAGGGAGCAGGCAAAAGUCUUCGCGCUAUGACAGUGGCCGGAUGGCGCACGAGAGGCGCCUAGAUUCAGGUGCCAGUUGUAUAUGGCUUCACCCAUUCUUUU
rfam:Parastrongyloides trichosuri strain KNP genome assembly, scaffold: PTRK_scaffold0000028